CUCGUGUAUUCGAAGUGAUUAACUCGUUCGGGCACCAAGGAACGCUAUUUAUAGAUAAACGUUAAAGUCAACUUGUAGAACUUGGUUAAACUUAAUGCCCGAUCGGGUCAGUAAACUUAAAAUACUCGAAUCCUUGCAAAAGAUGCCAAAAUUCUUUUCGUUAUUACCUCAAAGUUGAGGCUGAAAGCGCACUUUAGCGAUAAUAAAACCGUCAAUCGCACGUCAUAAUUGGGCUACUCUAUCAGCAGCCGGUAAGUACACUUAGAUAAAUUAGCUUUUAAUAAAGGAUCUGUUUUGAAUA